UACGUAGGGUGCAAGCGUUAAUCGGAAUUACUGGGCGUAAAGCGCACGUAGGCGGACUAUUAAGUCAGGGGUGAAAUCCCGGGGCUCAACCCCGGAACUGCCUUUGAUACUGGUAGUCUCGAGUCCGGAAGAGGUGAGUGGAAUUCCGAGUGUAGAGGUGAAAUUCGUAGAUAUUCGGAGGAACACCAGUGGCGAAGGGCGGCUCACUGGUCCGGUACUGACGCUGAGGUGCGAAAAGCGUGGGGAGCAAACAGGG
rnacentral:rRNA from 1 species